GACGAACGCUGGCGGCGUGCCUAAUACAUGCAAGUCGAGCGGAAUGAUGAAGAAGCUUGCUUCUUCUGAUUUUAGCGGCGGACGGGUGAGUAACACGUGGGCAACCUACCUUGUAGAUUGGGAUAACUCCGGGAAACCGGGGCUAAUACCGAAUAAUCCAUUUUGCUUCAUGGCGAGAUGUUGAAAGACGGUUUCGGCUGUCACUAUAAGAUGGGCCCGCGGCGCAUUAGCUAGUUGGUAGGGUAAUGGCCUACCAAGGCGACGAUGCGUAGCCGACCUGAGAGGGUGAUCGGCCACACUGGGACUGAGACACGGCCCAGACUCCUACGGGAGGCAGCAGUAGGGAAUCUUCCACAAUGGACGAAAGUCUGAUGGAGCAACGCCGCGUGAGUGAAGAAGGUUUUCGGAUCGUAAAACCCUGUUGUAAGGGAAGAACACGUACGAGAGUAACUGCUCGUACCUUGACGGUACCUUAUUAGAAAGCCACGGCUAACUACGUG
rnacentral:rRNA from 1 species